rnacentral:lncRNA from 1 species
CCAAUUUUUUUUUUUUUUUUUUUGUCGGCAGAUCUAUUCUUAUUUAUGCAGUUGACUUGCUCUUUGAACUGAAGUAACCCUCUGACUUUUCCAGGUACCAGCGUUCGUACAGUGUGAAAGUCAGAGUUGUCAUUAGCUGCAGAAUACUUUUCCAAAGCAGUGUCUCCGCUUUCUUGAGCGGACUGCCUGUCUCCCAUCCCUUAGUUCUGGAAUUAUAUCUUGUUGCUUUGUCUGGAACACAUUCCUCUGCCGUCUCAUUUUGUCUAACUUGCUAUUUGUAUUUUUAUUUAUGUGGGGGGUUAGUUCUGGUUCUCGACCUUGGAGAAGUGACCCUCAGUAGAUGCCCAGUGCGUCCCAGCAGUGCCCCCACUCUUGUCACUCAAGGGUCGGGGGCUGGCUGCUCCCAGGGUAGGUUCUGGCCUAUGUUUGCAGAAGCAGUUCCACAGGCUGUGGAAUCAUCCUUUUCUUGCUCCUGGUGUCUGCCCCCUGGCGGGUGAGGCUGAUCUGGAGGCUCAUGCAGGGAUCCUGGGGGAAGGGCCCGUGCCUGUCCACUGGUGGGUGGAGCUGGCUCUGGGGGCAAGGUGGUGUCUAGGGACAAGUUUAGAGGUGGCUGUGGGCUCAGGAAGUCUCUAGGCAGCCUGUCUGCUGAGGAGUGGGGCUGUGACUUGGUGUUAGUGACCCAGGACGUCAGCCUCCAGGAGAGGUCAUGAAGAUGAAUAUGCCCUCAUAUGUCUGCACCAGUGUCUGCAUCCCCAGGGUGAGCCACAGCGGCCCCCCACCUCCCCAGGAGACCCUCCAAGACCAGCGGGUAAUCUAUGAAAUCACUGCUUUUGCCCUUGGUCCCAGUGCACGUUGAGACUUUGUGUGUGUCCUUUAGGAGUGAAAUCUCUAUUUCCCCCAGUCCUGUGGAGCUCCUGCAAUUAAGCCCACUGGCUUUCAAAGCCAAAUGUUCUUGGGGCUCCUCUUCCUGGUGCUGGACCCCUGGGCUGGGGUGCCUGACAUGGGCUCAGAACUCUCCUGCUGAUGGUGUUCCCAUCAUGGCUCAGCAGAAACAAAUCUGACUAGCAUCCAUGAGGAUGCAGGUUUGAUCCCUGGCCUUGCUCAGUGGGUUAAGGAUCUGGUGUUGCCGUGAGCUGUGGUGUAGGUCACAGACAUGGCUCAGAUCUGGUGUUGCUGUGGCUGUGGCUCCAAUUCAACCCCUAUCUUGGGAACCUCCAUAUGCCACAGGUGCAGCCCUAAAAA